rnacentral:rRNA from 1 species
CAGUCGCCGCGGGAAUACGAAGGGGGCUAGCGUUGCUCGGAAUGACUGGGCGUAAAGGGCGCGUAGGCGGCUGUUACAGUCAGACGUGAAAUUCCUGGGCUCAACCUGGGGGCUGCGUUUGAUACGUGAUGGCUUGAGUUCGGAAGAGGGUCGUGGAAUUCCCGGUGUAGCGGUGAAAUGCGUAGAUAUCGGAAGGAACACCUGUGGCGAAAGCGGCUCACUGGACCAUUACUGACGCUGAGGCGCGAAAGCUAGGGGAGCAAACAGGAUUAGAUACCCCCGUAGUCCCUGUCUCUUAUAC